UUUUUUUUGGAGGAUAAUGAUUACCCCUCACGAUCAGCGCCAGGACACAUAGGGAGAGGGAAACAUCCAUUAAAGCUCAGCUCAGUCUCAGAAUAGGGUGCUGUAAGCAAUCCAAAACUGUGACAAAAACUGAGAUGAGAUGUCAUAAAUCUCAUUGUGUCAAAAUAGCUUCAUAUUAGUUGUGAUUAUAGAAUAUCCCUCUUUACAACAGUACAAGGUCCAGACAUAUUAAAAAUCAUGUCCUAUAUGGACAAAUAUGGGAUCAAAGACCGAGCUGUGUGCAGAAGUUGAAUAUAUAAGUCAACACCAUAAUACAAAA